ACAUACACCCUAGCAGUUGUUUCAAUUUUCUCUAGAGAGGUUCUUGCACAGCUGUAUAGCACUGUGGACUCUGAUGCUGUCUUUAAAGGGACCAAAGUCUCUCUAAUACCAAGAGAUCAAACACCUUCCAAGCCCUCCAUCUGCAUUAUGGAGUCAGAAAAUGAGAGCAUUGCUGCUUGCCUGGCGAAAGAUUUCUACCCUAAAGAGCUGAAGAUAUUCAUGAAUUCUAACAGUGAAAUUAUAUAUGAAGCAACAGCCCCGAUCCUCACAUCUAGUGGGAAAUACAGUGCUGUCAAAAUUGUCAAGUUCUCUUCAACUGAACUAGUGUCUUGCUACGUUCAACGUAACGGCAAAAUUAUUAAGAAAACCCAAACAGCUGAGAAGCCGCCAGAUCCGAAUGAGGAGAAAAACACAAAGACACUAUCCGCUGCCCUGCUGGGUUUGGAAAUUGUGCUUGCAAAGAGCAUCGUCUUUAAUGUGCUCAUGAUUGCAAGAUUAGUCUCUGAGGUUCGCAAGAAGGAGCGAGGAAGGACCUGAGAAAUAAAGCAAAAUUUCUGUCAUCUUUGUUUAUAUUAAUUAUAUCCACUGCUUUUGAUACUGACAAUUAGUCUGCAUUUAUUGUUGCUGUGAAUAGAUUUGUAACAAGCUAAUUUUGCUUAAAGUAUUGUAAAGUUACAAUAGUGACUUCAGCAUUAAGACGGGAGGAGAGUUUCUAUUUUAAAGUUUAUUUUGUAUUCCCUCAAAACUUUCCCUGCCCCUUGGAAAAAAAUCCUAUCUUUAGUGCAAACCUCCCAUGUUUCUUAGGCAGAAUAGGAUGUUUGCCAACUAAAUUAUACUGAUUGUACAAGAAUUUUUGAAAGAGUAGACUUUGAAAGAUGAUGGGCUUUUUAAAAAUGUCAUCUAACUUUUUUGAAUUCAUGUAUUUUCCUUGCCUAUGUUUAUCUGAUAGCAAUGUUGUGUGUUGGUGCAUGUUGCUUACACAAUAAAAAAAUGUUGCACAA